GUGUUGUAUGAAAGGAGAGAAGGUUAGCACUCCCCUUGAUAAGGAUAGAGGAGGUCCUACUGGCCUUUAUAAUACAUAUACGGCUAAGGCAUUGCCACCUACUUUGUGGCAUCUAACCAUGUUUUUGA
rnacentral:ncRNA from 1 species